rnacentral:rRNA from 1 species
UACGAAGGGGGCUAGCGUUGUUCGGAAUUACUGGGCGUAAAGCGCGCGCAGGCGGUUUUUCAAGUCAGUGGUGAAAGCCCGGAGCUCAACUCCGGAACUGCCUUUAAGACUGCAUCGCUAGAAUUGUGGAGAGGUGAGUGGAAUUCCGAGUGUAGAGGUGAAAUUCGUAGAUAUUCGGAAGAACACCAGUGGCGAAGGCGACUCACUGGACACAUAUUGACGCUGAGGUGCGAAAGCGUGGGGAGCAAACAGG